CUCAGUAACGGCGAGUGAAGCGGUAAUAGCUCAAAUUUGAAAUCUGGCCUCUUGGGGUCCGAGUUGUAAUUUGUAGAGGAUGUUUUGGGUACCGCCCCGGUCUAAAUUUCUUGGAACAGAAUGUCAAAGAGGGUGAGAAUCCCGUCUUGGAUCGGCGGUAGGGCCUGUGUAAAACUCCUUCGACGAGUCGAGUUGUUUGGGAAUGCAGCUCAAAAUGGGUGGUAAAUUUCAUCUAAAGCUAAAUAUUGGCCAGAGACCGAUAGCGCACAAGUAGAGUGAUCGAAAGAUGAAAAGCACUUUGAAAAGAGAGUUAAACAGUAUGUGAAAUUGUUGAAAGGGAAGCGCUUGCAACCAGACUUGAGCGCGGCGGUUCCCCCGGUCUUUUGGCCGGGCUACUCCGUCGUGUCCAGGCCAACAUCGGUUCUGAGGGUCGGUCAAAGGCCUUGGGAAUGUAUCUACCCACGGGUAGACUUAUAGACCAGGGUGUCAUGCGGCCUCUCGGGACCGAGGAACGCGCUUCGGCUCGGAUGUUGGCGUAAUGGUUGUCAGCGACCCGUCUUGAAACACGGACCAAGGAGUCUAACAUCUAUGCGAGUGUUUGGGUGUCAAACCCGGAACGCGAAAUGAAAGUGAACGGAGGUAGGAAGCUUCGGCUGCACUAUCGACCGAUCCUGAAGUUUACGGAUGGAUUUGAGUAAGAGCAUAGCUGUUGGGACCCGAAAGAUGGUGAACUAUGCCUGAAUAGGGUGAAGCCAGAGGAAACUCUGGUGGAGGCUCGCAGCGGUUCUGACGUGCAAAUCGAUCGUCAAAUUUGGGUAUAGGGGCGAAAGACUAAUCGAACCAUCUGGUAGCUGGUUCCUGCCGAAGUUUCCCUCAGGAUAGCAGUAACGUUUUCAGUUUUAUGAGGUAAAGCGAAUGAUUAGAGGCCUUGGGGGUUGAAACAACCUUAACCUAUUCUCAAACUUUAAAUAUGUAAGAAGUCCUUGUUACUUAAAUUGAACGUGGACAUUUGAAUGUACCGUUACUAGUGGGCCAUUUUUGGUAAGCAGAACUGGCGAUGCGGGAUGAACCGAACGUGAGGUUAAGGUGCCGGAAUGCACGCUCAUCAGACACCACAAAAGGUGUCAAUGCAUCUAGACAGCCGGACGGUGGCCAUGGAAGUCGGAAUCCGCUUAGGAGUGUGUAACAACUCACCGGCCGAAUGCAUUGGCCCUGAAAAUGGAUGGCGCUUAAGCGUGCUACCUAUACCUCGCCGUUAGGGUUGACAUGAUGCCCUAACGAGUAGGCAGGCGUGGAGGUCCGUGACGAA
rnacentral:rRNA from 1 species